AACGAACGCUGGCGGCAUGCCUAACACAUGCAAGUCGAACGAGACCUUCGGGUCUAGUGGCGCCCGGGUGCGUAACGCGUGGGAACCUGCCCUUAGGUUCGGAAUAACUCCCCGAAAGGGGUGCUAAUACCGGAUAAUGUCUUCGUCCCAAAGAUUUAUCGCCUUUGGAUGGGCCCGCGUUGGAUUAGCUAGUUGGUAGGGUAAAAGCCUACCAAGGCGACGAUCCAUAGCUGGUCUGAGAGGAUGAUCAGCCACACUGGGACUGAGACACGGCCCAGACUCCUACGGGAGGCAGCAGUGGGGAAUAGUGGACAAGGGGCGAAAGACUGAUCCAGCAAUGCCGCGUGAGUGAUGAAGGCCUUAGGGUUGUAAAGCUCUUUUACCCGGGAUGAUAAUGACAGUACCGGGAGAAUAAGCUCCGGCUAACUCCGUG
rnacentral:rRNA from 1 species